GGCCAAUGCCACGUUUGUAGAAUCUAUCAGAGAAGACGCCUAGAGGAGACAUUAGACAGGAGAGGGAUCUUCUCUGGAGUCCCAAAUCAGGGACUUUUAGUUUGGAGCUGACUGUGGAAUCCCAGUGGUUAUGGGUGACCAAGACAGCCUUGCCCAGAUAGCCAGAGUAGGAUAUUUACGUGAUGAGUGGUGCCCGUCCUCUGCAUGAAAGAGUGGCACUCUUCAGAUGAAUACCUUGUUCCCCAGGGCGGGUGCCAGAGGGAUAUUAUGAUCGUGACUCAAGCGCUCGUUUCCACAGCGGAGUCUGAUUCAUAGCCUCCGUGUCCCACUAACUGGUGCCAUAGAACUGUGUGUCUGGAGACAAAUUCACAUCAAGUUUCCUAAAACAAGGAUUGAAUCGGGGCGGGCGGGGGACAGCGGACAAUAAUAAGGAGAUGUAAGCAAAGAUCUCUGAUUAGCUCUUUCUCUGCUCAGUAGAAUGACACUUCAUCCCGGGCUUGCUCUAAAGGCUGGAUUCUCAGAGUGGCUUCUGGUGUUCCAAGCCAGUGUUUUAGCUCAGCUUUGCCUUUUGUAUCAAGGCUGAAAGGCUGAACCCACUUAGGGAGCCACUAGGCUUAAUGGAAACUCAAGACCCAUCAUCCACUGGUGAUGGGCAGAGUCUGCUAUCCAACCUCCCUUUGGAGAAUGGAACAGUUCCUACCACUGUUGAUUCACAGUGAGGGCCAGGUCCUAUAGGGGCCCACAGAGGGGUCCAUGAUGUUGCUCCUGAUGGAGAUGACCAGUGACCGUGGUGAGAGGGAUCUGUUAGAGGCCUAGGCCCAUCAUGUCUGUGUGGGAAUCCCAGGACUCCCUGACUAGGGCCCCAGCUGAUGGGGUGACCUUGUAGUGACUAGAGAGUCAUCAUUAAAGUGUGCCAGUCUCUUGCCCUUAGUCAGCUUUUGCAGUCCUUGCUUUGUCUGACACGGUGAGCUUUGGAGUGAUUGGGGGAAGUGUACUAGGAGGUAGGUGAGGAGGGUGUCUAGGUCUAAGUAGAAACUGUUUCAUUAGGUACUUUAAGGCGUCUUAGUAGGCCUUUCUGCUUGCUUGCUUUUUUUUCAUGCCUGCCGCUUGUUUACCAUGUAUAGUUAUUUUUGUACAUUGUUGGAUUGGAUUCGAUAUUUGUCUUGAAGCCAUUUACAUUUGAGUUUGUGAGAGACAUUAAGCUAUCAUUUUCUUUAGUUGUAACCUUUUCUAGUUGUGUUUUUUUUUUUUCAUAGUUGUAGUUUUAGUAUGAUAUUUUAAUAAAAUGAGUUAUAGAGGA